rnacentral:rRNA from 1 species
GAUGAACGCUGGCGGCGUGCCUAAUACAUGCAAGUCGAGCGAACGGACGAGAAGCUUGCUUCUCUGAUGUUAGCGGCGGACGGGUGAGUAACACGUGGAUAACCUACCUAUAAGACUGGGAUAACUUCGGGAAACCGGAGCUAAUACCGGAUAAUAUUUUGAACCGCAUGGUUCAAAAGUGAAAGACGGUCUUGCUGUCACUUAUAGAUGGAUCCGCGCUGCAUUAGCUAGUUGGUAAGGUAACGGCUUACCAAGGCAACGAUGCAUAGCCGAUCUGAGAGGGUGAUCGGCCACACUGGAACUGAGACACGGUCCAGACUCCUACGGGAGGCAGCAGUAGGGAAUCUUCCGCAAUGGGCGAAAGCCUGACGGAGCAACACCGCGUGAGUGAUGAAGGUCUUCGGAUCGUAAAACUCUGUUAUUAGGGAAGAACAUAUGUGUAAGUAACUGUGCACAUCUUGACGGUACCUAAUCAGAAAGCCACGGCUAACUACGUG